UUUGGGGUCUUAAUAUGCCAGGUGGAAAAACAGUGCCAAGGCCCUUGAUUUAGCAAGAUAUCAUCCACAUUCACUAUCUAUUUCUAAGUUAUUGAGUAAUUUCCAUGGGUCCUUUAGAAGUUGUGAAGUGUAGGAAAUUCUUGUAGACCUGCAAAAAAUCCAAGAAUUUAGCUUAGAAAGACUGGUUUGCUCCCGUUCAAGAUUGUAACUGGGUUGCUGAUCUUUCCUAGGGUCUUGUUCAUUUUGGAGUGGAUAUAAAGGACAUUGAUUUGAUUACCAACUGUCUGCUGCUGCCAAGAGCACCAUCUCUCCAGAGGCCCUGGGCUGCACACUGAGGCCUGCACACUGCGGGGCCUGCACACAUGAGGGUGCAGCUUAUCUGUCUGUCACGCACUGGGAAUUACGGAGAAGACACAUUGAAGUGCUUUGGAAAGAAUGGGUGCUGUACUCAGGGAAGAGCAUGGUUUGCCUGUGGCAUAAAAUCUCUAGGUUUGGAAGUUUUAUUCCCUUAGUAAGUCUUUCCUAUACUGUGCUGCCCUGUGGACUGGAGUGCUCCUGUAAUGCAUAGAGCUGAUACCAUUUGUCGGGGCUACUUAGUGAAGAGAUUUUCAAGAUUUCUGGGUGGAGGCUGAGCCUGCUAAUCGGGAACACACGUGUUCAAGCCACACCUGUCCCUGUAUGUAGGCAGCACAGCCUCAGGGCCCGCCAGUUUUCCAUGCCGAGCUUUUGUGAUGUUCAAAGUCAGCGUUGAGGCCCCUGCACUCGAUGCAAACAUGUUUAUUUUAUUUUUUCCUUUUCCUGGGAGCCAGACUCUGCCAUUCAUCGCACAAAUUUAUUUCUAAGGACACGUUCCUAGUGUGACAUUUAAAACGGAUCCCGUUUGGGGUUGAUAAUCUUCAGUCAGGCUGGGUACGGUCCUGUGCAGUGGAAUCACUUGGGGUAGCAGCUCACGGCAUUGUGCCUGUGAGAGCCAGAGGCCUUAGGGGUCAGCCAGUCUCAUUUGGCAGAAAAGCUAACGCAGGUCAGAGAGCUGCUGCAUAGACCAGAGCUGGGCUGAGGCGGGGCAAUACCUCCCCACCCUCUGCCGUCUGAUUUCAUCGGAGAUGUUUGCCCACGUUUGGUGGGGGGCACCGAAAAGAGAGAAGAUGUAGCAACUUGUGGUCGUGUCAGAAAGAUGAGCGGCAGGAGCGUGUCCCAGCUGGGGAGUGAGCAUUCUACCGCUGUGGGAAGCACGGGACAGCCAGACUUCCCACAUGAUGACGGUUCAAGGUUCCUAAAGGCAUGUGAUCCAAGAGCCAAGAAGCAGCACUGCUGAGCCUCUUAAAGGUUAGGCUGGAAUGUCUACCACAUUUCCCCUGGUUGAUAGGAGUCACGGGCCAGCCCAGGUUCAGUGUGGGAGGGGAUUCUGCAAGGCAGGAAUAUUCGGAAGUGUAGUUCAUUGUGGGAGUGUAGUCAUCUUUGCAGACUAGCUAGUCUGUUAAUAUGUAAACGCACAUAAAAUGUGGAAUGGGCUGUAACAAUAUUUUAUUUUCAAGGUUAACACCAUAAUCAUCAUAAUCAUAUAAUGUUUUCUGGGGAUCAUAUUACACCUAUUGCCCUUUAACCACUUUUCUUUCAUUGAACAAUAUAUCAUAAAUAUUUCCUCAAGUAAUUCAAUAUUCUUCUACAAAGUACUUUAAAAUGUAUUAACUAUACAGUAGAGUACACAGAUUUUAAUUUGUAUAGCUCAGUGCAUUUUUACAUAUGUGUUCACCUGUGUAGUGUUCCCCUGUGUUGCAUCCACCUAUGUCCACAUACUUCCUAUGUCAAUUAUAGAACAUUUCCAGGACUUCCUUUGUGCCAUGCCCCAAUCCAUACCAGUCUCUCCUUCUCUCACUGAGGUAACCACUGCCUUGACUUCUAACACUAUUAAUUAGUUUUGCCUGCUUUUUAACUUCAUAUAAAUGGAUCAUAUAAUACAGACUCCUUUGAGCCUGGGUCCUUUUGCUCAUCAAAAGUCUGUUAGAUUGACCCAUAGUGUUGCUUGAAACUAUAGUUCAUUAUCUUUAUGGUAGUAUUCUAUUGUAUGAGCAAACC